AUACGGAGGGAUCUAGCGUUAUUCGGAAUAACUGGGCGUAAAGCGAGCGUAGGCGGAUUUGUAAGUUGGAGGUGAAAUCCCAGGGCUUAACCCUGGAACUGCCUUCAAAACUACAUUUCUUGAGUUUGGUAGAGGAGAGUGGAAUUCCUAGUGUAGAGGUGAAAUUCGUAGAUAUUAGGAGGAACACCAGUGGCGAAGGCGACUCUCUGGGCCAAUACUGACGCUGAGGUUCGAAAGCGUGGGGAGCGAACAGGAUUAGAUACCCUGGUAGUCCACGCCGUAAACGAUGAUCACUCGUUGCUGGUAAUAUACCAUCAGUGACCAAGCGAAAGUGUUAAGUGAUCCACCUGGGAAGUACGUUCGCAAGAAUGAAACUCAAAGGAAUUGACGGGGCCCGCACAAGCGGUGGAGCAUGUGGUUUAAUUCGAUGAUACGCGAGGAACCAUACCAGGGCUUAAAUGCAGUUCGACAGAUUUAGAAAUAAAUCCUUCUUCGGACGAAUUGCAAGGUGCUGCAU
rnacentral:rRNA from 1 species